ensembl:misc_RNA 7SK 7SK RNA
GGCUGUAAGAGUGAUCUAGCUGGUCAUAUGUCACCUCAUUGAUCUCCAGGCUUGAUUUACAUGAUCUGGCUGGUCAGGUGGGUGUCCCUUUCUCCCUCACAGCUCCAUGUGCAACCUCCUUAAGGCUGGGAACUCAAUCAAAGAGGACAACUAGUCUUCAGUCAAAGGUAUACAAGUAGUACUCCCCUGCUAGAACCUCCAAAUAAGUCCUCAGUAUUUGUUAGGCACACAGGAGUCAAAUGUCAGUCUGGUAAUGUGGCCUCUGUCUAAACAC